GACGCGCCCGGUACAAAUUUGGCAGCCGGUACAAAUUGGCAUGACAGGGGCACUGAGCUGUAGCGACGUCGACGCAAAAAUUCGUCGACGUCAAAUUUCUCCGUCGACGAUUUUCGACGGAGAAAUGGACGAAAGUCACAAUAAAGGAAAAUGUCCUCGCACGAAAUCAUCAAAGAAAUACCCACAUAAUCGGCGCACGUUGUGGAUUGGACCCAUCGCUGUCCUGGAAUAGAGGUACCAUCCCCUCUGUCAAGCCCCGCAGCUCAACAGCACCAUCCAUCUCGUCCAAGUCGCCGUCCGCCUAAGGCGGUUCUGUCUCCUCGACAAAGACAUGCUUCCCCCAUGGAUCUCGAGUCACAUGACCCCCUAACCAGGUUGAUCGUCAAGGACCUGGGUCCUUGACGUUGAUGCUUAUAUAUUUUAGACUCUACGUU
ensembl:lncRNA